GCAACCUGCAGGUGCACAAGAGACACUCUGCAUAGCCAUCAUCUGGCUAAAUUAAUUUGCUCUGGAUUUAGGAAUCAAAGGGAAGUCAAGCCAGUGACAGCUCAGAGCAGCAAAUUGCUUUCUCUUCCAUUUCUGGCAGGAUGAGUAGCCUUUAGAAAGGAUUUCCUUUGUGAGUUAAAAUGACCAUAUAAGACAGUUGUGGCCACUUAAGUAAAAAUGUAAAGCUUGUGUCCAUCCUCUUCCAUUUGCAUCCCUCCUCUUGGCUUAUGAGGUACAGAAGUAGGCCUGUGACAAUCUCAGUAUGACUGAGUGAUCUGGAAAGAGAGUGGGGUGUUUUUUCAAGAAUCUUACCUUAUGGUAACCUGUGCAAAUUUUCAAUUGCAAGGUGAGCAGGGGACGAAAUCGUGCUGUAUUUCCUUUUGAUUUCAGCAGGAGGUACACCCUCUCUAAGACUGGUCUUAAACAUUAACAAGAAAGAAAGAAGACAUAUUCUUUUCCAAUGAAAGGAGAAAAAUGGGGGUGUAGGGAAAGACCGUAUAUCGGCUCUGGACUAUGACCAGCAAACCCACCCAGGGUGAAAAAAACAUGUUGUAUUCAACUGCUGGUUCUUUAUUAUCAUUAUUGGAACUCAUCCAAAGGCGACUGAAGUUGAUGGAAAAACUCUCAUUGACUUCAAAAGGUUUUGAAUCCUGCCCAUUGUGUAACAAGAUGAUGUGCACUUCCAUGUUAUUGAAAAUAAAUGGAUCCUGAUACCUGA